rnacentral:rRNA from 1 species
AACGGCCAUACCAAGCUGAAUAUAUCGGUUCUCGUUAGAUCACCGAAGUCGAGCUUCAUUGGGCGUGGUCAGUACUUGGGUGGUGACCACCUGAGAACACCGCGUGCUGUU